GACGAGGGGUCCUAGCGUUGUUCGGAAUCAUUGGGCGUAAAGCGUGUGUAGGCGGUCUUGUAAGUCAGGUGUGAAAGCCCCGGGCUCAACCCGGGAAGUGCAUCUGAUACUGCUUGACUUGAGUACUGGAGAGGAUAGUGGAAUUCCUGGUGUAGUGGUGAAAUACGUAGAUAUCAGGAGGAACACCGGUGGCGAAGGCGGCUAUCUGGCCAUGUACUGACGCUGAGACACGAAAGCGUGGGGAGCAAACAGG
rnacentral:rRNA from 1 species